UUAAACAACAGAAUGCAAUUAAUUGACUCUGCAUUAUGUAUACGUAUACAAAGUACAUAUUAUGUCAUCUUUUGGUACAAAAUAACUACAAAUUGUAGUUAGUUAGUUACCUAAUAACUUAUACAAGCUUAAAAUUCUGAAUAGGUAAAUAUACAUCGAGGUUAUUAAUAAUUCAGACAUAGGAGAAUUAAACCACAGAAACUGUUUGUUAAUAUUACUAUAUAUAAUUACCAGAAAAACUUUAAUUGCGUGCAAUUUUUUUAAAAAUAACAAUAAGGUAGUUCUAAAAUGUUAUACUGCAAUUAGCUAGUUUCUUAAUUUCAUUCGUUUAAUGUUUAUAAAUUCAACUUGUCCGUUUGGUCGAAUUUUAUUAUACCCAAAAAUGCAUAUAUAUCUUUGCGAGUAGUGAUCAGGCGAUGGAACUUGCACGAAGCAAAAACGCAGAUAAAUUGAAUUCUGUAAAACGGGGAUGAAACUAAGCACGCGAUUGGUUACAGCGUCGCAGACAUCGAAUUUAACGCAUCUGAUUGGCGUUUGUCUACGUCAUCAGUGCUUCAUGUGGUAGCAAUCGCAAUUUUGCGACAAGCCUGAGAGGCGUUUUGUUCAUUAUAAGUUCAUAAAGUUUCGAGGUGGAAGGACGUGUUUUCGCGUCUCUUAAAUUCAACUUAUCGAGCUAUUAGUUUUAAUUUGUUCUUCGUCUGAAAGAUUAGUUAACAACUGUGAGAGAUUGGAACUGAUAUCCUUUGCUUACUGAAAAGAUAAGUCGUCUCCUAUGGUGUUUUAGCUGUUAAUUUUUCAUCUUGGAGGCUCUUGUAGUUAAUUAAGGAACAUUAGAAGAACUCCGGAUAACAUUAAAUUAUGAAAUUAUGGAGCCUUGGUUGUAUUAGUUCUAAUUUGCCCCGGAAAGUAGCUGUGUCCAUGGUUCUAAAGGAAGCAUGAAAGUGUCUUUUUUCCAUUCGGAGCAAAGCUGUUAAAUUUUCACCCUGGAUGCUCUUGUAUUUAAUUAAGGGAUGUUAGAACUCCAGAUGCCAUUAAAUUGUGGAGCAUUGAUUGUAUUGGUUCUCAUUGACUCCAAAAAGUGACUGUUCCUAUGGUCAUAAAGAAAGCAUGAAAAUGCCUUUUGAUUGGGAACGGAGACAAUGUGCUGAAGAAGAAGUGUGUUGUUGAAGGAGGGAUUUAUGAUAAUAAACUGAUUGUUGUCCCACAAAUUAGAAGGAAUUGCAGUUAAUUUUGGUGCUACUAAAACAACCGAUGCUUUUGACGUCUUCACGUUGCAACAUUGUGCAGUUAAUUUUUACCGUAACAAUGGGAGGCAAUUGGAAAUUAAUUUGGAAACAACCGGAAAAACAAAUUAUCUGCAGUGGUAUCGCUUCUAGAAUUGGUUGGUUUGCUCUUCACACUAGUAGACAUUACAACGCCAACAAUUAAUUAUGAAUAAAUUGAUAUUUAUCAUUGAUGUAUGUAUGGAGUUUAUCUAUGAAGUUUAUCUAUCUAUGGAUUUUCUUUUUAAUCUUUUUCUGUUGUCUAUGUCGUAAAUUGACGUGUUAUUUGACGUUAACCUAUGUCGUGAUCUAUGGUUGUGAUGUAAAAUGGCGUAAAGUUGUUGUUUAUUUAUUUUUUAAUUCAGCUAUUUUAC